rnacentral:misc_RNA from 1 species
AUCGUUUUGGUUAUAUAAAAAGAGCAAUGCAUGGAACAAACAUGCUGUCUACUCGAGAUGUAAGUGAGAUUUACGGGAGGGAAUUGGUGGAUCUGCGUAAGGAGAAUCGAUGGGAGUUCCUAAAUACGCUAUUCUCUGUAUCGGAGGCUGUUGCCUAUAUGCAGAUGGUAGACAGAUUGGACGAUGGAGCCAUAGGAGCAGCACUUGGUCCACUUGAUUAUAAAGGACUCUACAAGGCUGUUGGGAAAGCACUAUUCAGGGCACAUGUCGAGGGUCAGCUUAAGAGUGAGAUAAUGUCUAAUCCUGAAUUAUUUGUCGAGCCAGACCCUGUACUACCAUUGACCCUAUUGGACCAAAAAGAGGCUGGAAAAAAGCUUUUGCUUAUCACCAACUCGGAUUAUCAUUACACAAAUAAAAUGAUGCAGCAUUCUUUUGAUAGAUUUCUUCCAAAUGAUAUGGG